GAAACUGCGAAUGGCUCAUUAAAUCAGUUAUCGUUUAUUUGAUAGUACCUUACUACUUGGAUAACCGUGGUAAUUCUAGAGCUAAUACAUGCUAAAAAUCCCGACUUCGGAAGGGAUGUAUUUAUUAGAUUAAAAACCAAUGCCCUUCGGGCUCACUGGUGAUUCAUGAUAACUUCUCGAAUCGCAUGGCCUUGCGCCGGCGAUGGUUCAUUCAAAUUUCUGCCCUAUCAACUUUCGACGGCUGGGUCUUGGCCAGCCAUGGUGACAACGGGUAACGGAGGGUUAGGGCUCGACCCCGGAGAAGGAGCCUGAGAAACGGCUACUACAUCCAAGGAAGGCAGCAGGCGCGCAAAUUACCCAAUCCCGACACGGGGAGGUAGUGACAAUACAUACUGAUACAGGGCUCUUUUGGGUCUUGUAAUUGGAAUGAGUACAAUUUAAAUCCCUUAACGAGGAACAAUUGGAGGGCAAGUCUGGUGCCAGCAGCCGCGGUAAUUCCAGCUCCAAUAGCGUAUAUUAAAGUUGUUGCGGUUAAAAAGCUCGUAGUUGAACCUUGGGCCUGGCUGGCCGGUCCGCCUCACCGCGUGCACUGGUACGGUCGGGCCUUUCCCUCUGGGGAACCGCAUGCCCUUCACUGGGUGUGUCGGGGAACCAGGACUUUUACUUUGAAAAAAUUAGAGUGUUCAAAGCAGGCUUAUGCUCGGAUACAUUAGCAUGGAAUAAUAGAAUAGGACGUGCGGUUCUAUUUUGUUGGUUUCUAGGACCGCCGUAAUGAUUAAUAGGGACAGUCGGGGGCAUCAGUAUUCAAUUGUCAGAGGUGAAAUUCUUGGAUUUAUUGAAGACUAACUACUGCGAAAGCAUUUGCCAAGGAUGUUUUCAUUAAUCAGGAACGAAAGUUAGGGGAUCGAAGACGAUCAGAUACCGUCGUAGUCUUAACCAUAAACUAUGCGAACUAGGGAUCGGACGAUGUUAUUAUUUGACUCGUUCGGCACCUUACACGAAAGUACAAGUUUCUG
rnacentral:rRNA from 1 species